AAAAUGGUUUUUUAAAAACCAUCAAAACUUAAUAAAGGAAUUUG
rfam:Mycoplasma conjunctivae HRC/581T complete genome